rnacentral:rRNA from 1 species
UACGAAGGGGGCUAGCGUUGUUCGGAAUUACUGGGCGUAAAGCGCACGUAGGCGGAUACUUAAGUUAGGGGUGAAAUCCCAGAGCUCAACUCUGGAACUGCCUUUAAUACUGGGUAUCUCGAGUCCGGAAGAGGUGAGUGGAAUUCCGAGUGUAGAGGUGAAAUUCGUAGAUAUUCGGAGGAACACCAGUGGCGAAGGCGGCUCACUGGUCCGGUACUGACGCUGAGGCGCGAAAGCGUGGGGAGCAAACAGG